rnacentral:tRNA from 1 species
GGGUCGGUGGUCUAGCUUGGUAUGAUUCUUGGUUCGGGACCAAGAGGUCGCGAGUUCAAAUCUCGUCCGGCCCACCA